rfam:Cronobacter sp. DJ34 Bact_Masurca_120, whole genome shotgun sequence.
UCUGUGCGUAUCCAUUUGAGUAUCCUGAAAACGGGCUUUUCAGUAUGGUGCGCAUUUAUCAAAUAGUAGGAGUGCAUAGUGGCCCGUAUAGCAGGCAUUAACAUUCCUGAU